ensembl:lncRNA LINC01350 long intergenic non-protein coding RNA 1350
AUAGUACUUUCAGGCAAGGCCAAGGCUUCUUGAAAGGCUGGUCAUGCCCCAGUGAUCAAUGAAGAACUCAGGGAUAUCCCAAAACUCAGGACUAUAAGGCACAAUGGGGGAGCAGGUACCAGGUGGCCAGCAUCCUAAAUGACUCUCAGCAGCUGCAGAGAACCUACGUCUGCGGGUCAGACCCUGGCAGGUGGUGCCCCAUGUGAGGAAAACUACAAAGGAUCAUAAUGGAACCCUCAAAAAUAGGGGUGAAAAGGACGGCACAGUCAGUGAGUCAUGUAAAUAACAAGAGCUGCCUAUAAAUCUACCUCAGAAGACAAAGGGAAAAGCAAAACUCUGCCCAGGAAGACCUUACUUUACAAACCAGGUGACCAAAUUUCUAAAACAUCAUUCCCGUAAUCCCUGAUCAACAGAAAGGAAGCUCUGGAAGCAUGAAUGCUCAACCAUAUUUACCAGCCUUCCUGUGGUCAUUUGUCUGAGCUCCAGCUAGUGAAGUAUGAGUAGAACGGACAUGCACCACUUCCAGACCUGGCACCGGCAAACCCCCCAUGGCAACCCUCCAACCCUUUCCUCAACAACUGGACCACGCUGGAAAGGACUGAGGAUCUAGAGGAGGACAGGGCUGUAAUAUGGAAGGAGUUUGGUUUCUGAAGGACCAUGUAGCAGGCCACCUGCAGGGCGGGAACAUCUUUAAUAGGUUUGGAAUAGCAAGAAAUAAACUGGUCUUGUAUUAAACAA